rnacentral:piRNA from 1 species
GUUCUGUCUACUAUUUAUUCUCUAG